UACGGGGGGUGCAAGCGUUACUCGGAAUCACUGGGCGUAAAGGGCGCGUAGGCGGGUUGUCAAGUUCCGUGUGAAAUCCAACGGCUUAACCGUUGAACUGCUUGGAAAACUGACAGCCUAGAGUGAGGGAGAGGUAGAUGGAAUUGGUGGUGUAGGGGUAAAAUCCGUAGAUAUCACCAGGAAUACCCAUUGCGAAGGCGAUCUACUGGAACUCAACUGACGCUGAGGCGCGAAAGCGUGGGGAGCAAACAGGAUUAGAUACCCUGGUAGUCCACGCCCUAAACGAUGAACACUAGUUGUUGCCUUGCACGUCAAGGCAGUAAUGCACCUAACGGAUUAAGUGUUCCGCCUGGGGAGUACGGUCGCAAGAUUAAA
rnacentral:rRNA from 1 species